rnacentral:tRNA from 1 species
GGAGAGGUGGCCGAGUGGUCGAAGGCGCUCCCCUGCUAAGGGAGUUUCUAUUCUCUUCC